AUUUUGGGGCUCAACCCCAAAUCGCGUUGGAUACUGGCAGACUAGAGUUAUGUAGAGGUUAGCAGAAUUCCUUGUGAAGCGGUGAAAUGCGUAGAUAUAAGGAAGAAUAUCAAUAUGGCGAAGGCAGCUAACUGGACAUACACUGACACUGAGAGAUGAAAGCGUGGGGAGCAAACAGGAUUAGAUACCCUGGUAGUCCACGCCCUAAACGAUGAUCAUUAGCUGAUGGAGAAUUCAUCGGCGCAGCU
rnacentral:rRNA from 1 species